rnacentral:snRNA from 1 species
AUAUGUACCUGGCAGUGGAGAUACCACCAUCAAGGAGGUCGUUCAUCCAGGGUGAGGCGCUGCCAUUGCAGUCUGGUUGUGCUGACCCCUGCAGCUUCCCCAAAUUUAGGCCAAUGGACGAUGUGGUGUGACGCAGUUGGCCAA